rnacentral:rRNA from 1 species
CCAGCCGCCGCGGUAAGACGGAGGGGGCUAGCGUUGUCCGGAAUUACUGGGCGUAAAGCGCUCGUAGGCGGUCGCAUACGGCGGUGGUGAAAGCUCCCGGCUCAACUGGGAGAGGCCCGCCGCAACGGUGUGACUCGAGGGUGGUAGAGGCAGAUGGAAUUCCUGGUGUAGCGGUGAAAUGCGUAGAGAUCAGGAGGAACACCCAUGGCGAAGGCAGUCUGCUGGGCCAUACCUGACGCUGAGGAGCGAAAGCUAGGGGAGCGAACGGGAUUAGAUACCCCGGUAGUCCUAGCCGUAAACGAUGGAUACUAGGUGUCAGCGGUAUCGACCCCGCUGGUGCCGUAGCUAACGCGUGAAGUAUCCCGCCUGGGGAGUACGGCCGCAAGGUUGAAACUCAAAGGAAUUGACGGGGGCCCGCACA